AAAAUAUCGGUUCCCGUACGAUCACUGAAGUUAAGCAAUGUCAAGCCUGGUCAGUACCUCGAUAGGUAACCGCUCAGGAAUUAUAAGAUGC